UCCAUUUUCUGCACUAAAAGCUCUCAUUUCAAGCUUGAGGUUCCUCCAUAGAAGUGCAAGAUUGAAGGGUUUUCAAGGAAGCUUGAUUCAAGUUUUGUCACCAACAUUUCACCAUCAUCUCAUCCUAAGAUUACUACCCUAGCCUUGUGCUAGUAGUAGUCGUGUUUGCUGAAGAGAUUUGGGUUACGAGUACCGAAGACGCAAAACAACAUUUACAGACAUUACAGACAUUUAUUUACAUGGUAUGGGAAUUAGUAAAUGGAUCUGGCGGGCGUUGGAGUUUUUAAGCUGCGUUGUGAAUAAAGAUGUCAUCCAAGUCAUUAGGGCUUAGGAGGCGUAUCUUAAUCCUGGACGAGAUACGUGGUCCUAAACUCGGGGUUGUUUUAAAAAUCUUUUGUUGAGUCUUUUUGAACUCCUUAAAACAUGUUAUGGUUGGUAACAUGAAAUUGGUCUCGUCAUUUCAGACAAUUAUGUUGUACUACUUUUAAACUUAAAUUAAUGGAUGUAUAUCUACUGGUU
rnacentral:lncRNA from 1 species